rnacentral:rRNA from 1 species
AUGAUGCUUAUCCUUUUUCUUAUCCUUGUCCUUGUCUUUGUCUUUAGACCGAUCCUUAUGUCGAUGUUUGUGCUUCUUAUGCUCCCUGUCUUUAUCUUUGUCUUUGUGCUUUUUAUGUUUUUUCUCUUUGUCCUUGGACUCACUUUUCGGUUUGCCCGAAAUAGUAGGUAUGCCUUUUUCCGCCUAGGGUAAAUCUACUGGAGCAGUUUCUCGAAGCUGAAAUGCUUGCCCCAGUGUUUCCAUAUCAAAGGGCUGAAUAUAAGCAGGCUUAUCCCUUAA